rnacentral:rRNA from 1 species
UGUGCCAGCCGCCGCGGUAUACGUAUGUCACAAGCGUUAUCCGGAUUUAUUGGGCGUAAAGCGCGUUAGGUGGUUAUGUAAGUUGAUGUGAAUGCAGGGCUCACUCUGUAUUGCGUUGGAAACUGUGUAACUAGAGUACUGGAGAGGUAAGCGGAACUACAAGUGUAGAGGUGAAAUUCUGUAGAUAUUUGUAGGAAUGCCGAUGGGGAAGCCAGCUUACUGGACAGAUGCUGACGCUGAAGCGCGAAAGCGUGGGUAGCAAACAGGAUUAGAUAC